rnacentral:rRNA from 1 species
AGUCGUGCGAUCGAACCGGACGGAUUUCCCUUCGGGGACUGAAGGCCGGUCACGGAGCGGCGAACUGGUGAGUAACACGUAGCUAACCUGCCCUCUUGUCAGUAAUAACCAUUCGAAAGGAUGGCUAAUGCCCGAUGUUGUGCGGAGUUGAUGACUCCGCUCCAAAGGCGGUCUUGCCGCCACAAGGGGAGGGGGCUGCGUCCUAUUAGCUUGUUGGUGGGGUAACGGCCUACCAAGGCAGUGAUGGGUAGCUGGUCUGAGAGGACGAUCAGCCACAUUGGGACUGAGAUACGGCCCAGACUCCUACGGGAGGCAGCAGUGGGGAAUAUUGGACAAUGGACGAAAGUCUGAUCCAGCGACACCGCGUGGGGGAUGAAUGCCUUCGGGUUGUAAACCCCUUUUCUGGGGGAAGAAUAAGGUUGGGAGGAAAUGCCCAAUCGAUGACGGUACUCCAGGAAUAAGCAUCGGCAAACUUCGUGCCAGCAGCCGCGGUAAGACGAAGGAUGCAAGCGUUAUCCGGAAUUACUGGGCGUAAAGGGCGUCUAGGCGGUUGGAUAAGUCAUUUGUGAAAUCCCGGGGCUUAACCCUGGAAGGUCUUGUGAUACUGUCCGGCUUGGGUGUAGGAGAGGAGAGCGGAACUCACAGAGUAGCGGUGGAAUGCGUAGAUACUGUGAGGUACCCCGAUGGCGAAGGCAGCUCUCUGGCCUACUACCGACGCUGAAGCGCGAAAGCGUGGGGAGCAAAGGGGAUUAGAUACCCUGGUAGUCCACGCCGUAAACGAUGUCAACUAGCCGUCGGAUCCAUUUAAGGGUUUGGUGGCGCAGCCAACGCGAUAAGUUGACCGCCUGGGGAGUACGGCCGCAAGGUUAAAACUCAAAGGAAUUGACGGGGGCCCGCACAAGCGGUGGAGCAUGUGGUUUAAUUCGAUGCAACGCGAAGAACCUUACCAGCCCUUGACAUCCUCGGAACUUUCCAGAAAUGGAUUGGUGCCUUCGGGAACCGAGUGACAGGUGCUGCAUGGCUGUCGUCAUCUCGUGUCGUGAGAUGUUGGGUUAAGUCCCGUAACGAGCGCAACCCUUGUCCUUAGUUGCCAGCACAUAAUGGUGGGAACUCUAAGGAGACUGCCGGUGACAAACCGGAGGAAGGUGGGGAUGACGUCAAGUCAUCAUGGCCCUUAUGGGCUGGGCUACACACGUGCUACAAUGGCCGGUACAGAGGGCUGCAAACCCGCAAGGGGGAGCCAAAUCUCACAAAACCGGUCGUAGUCCGGAUCGCAGUCUGCAACUCGACUGCGUGAAGUCGGAAUCGCUAGUAAUCGCAGAUCAGAAUGCUGCGGUGAAUACGUUCCCGGGCCUUGUACACACCGCCCGUCACACCAUGGGAGUGGGUUGCAAAAGAAGUGGGUAGCCUAACCUUCGGGAGGGCGCUCACCACUUUGUGAUUCAUGACUGGGGUGAAGUCGGAACAAGGUA